rnacentral:rRNA from 1 species
GAUGAACGCUGGCGGCGUGCCUAAUACAUGCAAGUCGAGCGAACGGACGAGAAGCUUGCUUCUCUGAUGUUAGCGGCGGACGGGUGAGUAACACGUGGAUAACCUACCUAUAAGACUGGGAUAACUUCGGGAAACCGGAGCUAAUACCGGAUGAUAUUUUGAACCGCAUGGUUCAAAAGUGAAAGACGGUCUUGCUGUCACUUAUAGAUGGAUCCGCGCUGCAUUAGCUAGUUGGUAGGGUAACGGCUUACCAAGGCAACGAUGCAUAGCCGACCUGAGAGGGUGAUCGGCCACACUGGAACUGAGACACGGUCCAGACUCCUACGGGAGGCAGCAGUAGGGAAUCUUCCGCAAUGGGCGAAAGCCUGACGGAGCAACGCCGCGUGAGUGAUGAAGGUCUUCGGAUCGUAAAACUCUGUUAUUAGGGAAGAACAUAUGUGUAAGUAACUGUGCACAUCUUGACGGUACCUGAUCAGAAAGCCACGGCUAACUACGUG